rnacentral:tRNA from 1 species
GCCUAGUUAGCUUAGUUGGUAGUGCGUCUGCCUUGUAAGCGCUAGGCCGCGGGUUCGAUUCCUGCCCGGAGCG